GUCAUCAUUAUUCACCAAAGUAAAAGUCAAGAAGAAGAAGAAAAAAAAAAAAAAGAGUCGCACUUUAAAAAGUUAAAAAAGAGUAUCUGCUCCCAGUCCGAUCAUCGUACUGAAGGGAUCUUUCUUAUACCUAAAACGACUCUUUGAGUGAAUCAAGACGAUCUCUCCCUACUCUCUCAGUCGAAGAUUGAGAUCAGAGUAGAUGGCUGGAUUGAGUUUCGUUUCCCCUUCACUUUGAUACGCGAUUUCUCUUUCCAUAGAUUACUGAUUCACAAAUCACAAUCAAUAUUCCGAUGUUGUAAGCAAGUGGAGUUUGUAUACAAAUGAUUUACUAUGAACAUUACUUUUAACCAUAUAUAAAAUUUCACUUAUGCUUGUGGAUG